rnacentral:rRNA from 1 species
GAUGAACGCUGACCGAAUGCCUAACACAUGCAAGUCCACUUGAAUUUGGGUUUUUAACUUAGGUUUGGGUGGCGGACGGGUGAGUAACGCGUAAAGAACUUGCCUCACAGCUAGGGACAACAUUUGGAAACGAAUGCUAAUACCUAAUAUUAUGAUAAUAGGGCAUCCUAUAAUUAUGAAAGCUAUAAGCGCUGUGAGAGAGCUUUGCGUCCCAUUAGCUAGUUGGAGAGGUAACGGCUCACCAAGGCGAUGAUGGGUAGCCGGCCUGAGAGGGUGAUCGGCCACAAGGGGACUGAGACACGGCCCUUACUCCUACGGGAGGCAGCAGUGGGGAAUAUUGGACAAUGGACCAAGAGUCUGAUCCAGCAAUUCUGUGUGCACGAUGAAGUUUUUCGGAAUGUAAAGUGCUUUCAGUUGGGAAGAAAGAAAUGACGGUACCAACAGAAGAAGUGACGGCUAAAUACGUG